AAAUUUUGCGGGCUUAACUGCAAGACUGCCUCUGAUACUGCUUGACUAGAGUUCAAUUGACGUUGCCGGAAUGUGAUGUGUAGCGGUGAAAUGCAUAGAUAUGUCACAGAACGCCUAUCGUGAAGACAGGUAACGAAAUUGAUACAGACGCUCAUGCACGAAAGCGUGGGGAUCAAACAGGAUUAGAUACCCUGGUAGUCCACGCUGUAAACGAUGAUCACUCGUUGUUGGGUAGCAAUACUCAGUGGCCAAGCGAAAGCGAUAAGUGAUCCACCUGGGGAGUACGAUCGCAGGGUUGAAACUCAAAGGAAUUGACGGGGGCCCGCACAAGCGGAGGAGCAUGUGGUUUAAUUCGAUGAUACGCGAGGAACCUUACCCGGGCUUGAAUUGCAGCGGAAUAUUGUGGAAACACAAUAGCCUUCGGGCCGCUGUGAAGGUGCUGCAUGGUUGUCGUCAGCUCGUGCCGUGAGGUGUUAGGUUAAGUCCUGCAACGAGCGCAACCCUUACACUUAGUUGCCAGCAUGUAACGAUGGGGACUCUAAGUGAACUGCCUACGCAAGUAGAGAGGAAGGUGGGGAUGACAUCAAAUCAGCACGGCCCUUAUGUUCGGGGCUACACACGUGCUACAAUGGUCGGUACAGAGGGCAGCUACCACGCGAGUGGAUGCCAAUCUCAAAAGCCGAUCUCAGUUCGGAUCGGAGUCUGUAACUCGACUCCGUGAAGUUGGAUUCGCUAGUAAUCGCACAUCAGCCAUGGUGCGGUGAAUACGUUCCCGGGCCUUGUACACACCGCCCGUCAAGCCAUGGAAGCCUGUGGUACCUAAAGUCCGUGCCCGAAAGGAGCGGCCUAGGGUAAAACCGGUAACUGGGGCU
rnacentral:rRNA from 1 species